ACGAGCAAUGGCCUGCCUACGGGCCGUACGAUGUCAAAGCCCUGCGGCGCUUCUUUGACAAUAAGAGGCGCACAUACCGGUUGGAGAAGAAGAAAGUGGAAACCACAAAGAGUGGGAUGGCAAGCUCUGAAAUUUAUAGAGGCCGCUGGCGCUUUUAUAAUUCACUAAAGUUUUGCGAUGCUUCAAAAGUGACCUGCUGGCGUUCUGUGAGCACUGAAGAGUGCCAAGCUGCGGUGGAGACCACAAAGGUAAACUUCCUUUUUUUCGUACCUGUGAUGAAGCGUUCCUGUGCUGCGUAAAUUAUUAGAAUAUGCCUUUCGUUUUAUUACUUAGCACUUCCUUAGCCUUAGAAGGUUUACAAUACUUGACAGCACGCCGCAUUAUUUCUGCAAUAAGAUUUGUUGCUUGCUGUACUGAAUUAUUCAAACGUUGUUGCUAUAUGUAGAUUAGAUAUGAUCAUAAAAUGUUGACGCUGAAGUUUAAAUCUUGCGCUCUAAUUACUGCAAGGCACCAAUAACGUACUAUUGCUUUUACAUGGUUGUUAUACAGAUUUUAAUUUGAGUAGAUACACAGAUGUGUGUCUGCAAAGAAAUGCAUUUUAGAAUUUCGAGAGACUUAAUGCACCAUUUUGUUUACUGCAGAUACCACAAGCCAUUGAUGACCCUUCAGGUGCCUCAGACGCUGUGACAGCGGCGACUGACGACCAGAACACUACCGUGGACGACCCAAUCGCGGCCAAGGCAUGCCCUGCAACGUCCCGUCAAGGAACACACAGAAAGAGGCGCCAGUCUCCUCAUCGUUUAGAUGAAAUAUUGGCGCAAAGGCAAAACGUGUUGGAAAAAAUAGCUGCAAGCGUGGGCCAACCAGCGAGUGCCACACAACAGGAAGACGAUAUCGACUACUUUGGUAAAGUCGUUGCGGCAAACAUGUGCAGCGUUCCGAAGGAUAAGCUCAUCGCUUGUCAGACUGCUAUCUUAAACACACUUGAAAUCCACAUCGACAAGAGCGAGUAAGAAAGCUCAACAGAUCUCAUUUUAUAUUGUCAGUUAAUAAAGCGUUGAUUACCUCCA
rnacentral:lncRNA from 1 species